CUUCUAUAGAAAAAUUGCUCUAUUUUUGCAUAGUUUUUUAAAGAAAUAUAUAGCGUUAACUGCACUAUGCGAAAAUAGUAGGCCUUGCUGUUGCAACAGACUAUUGAUUUUCAUGUCAAUCAUUGUCAAUUUCACGUGCAAAGGCGGAGCUUAGUUGCUUUGACAGACAAGUGGGUUGGAUUUAUGAGCAUAGCAAUUAAUAAACUAUUACAAUUGAACAAUCAGGGGAAAAUAGAAGAUAUAUUCAUUUUAAUUUCUGUAGUUUCUGUUAGAACGUUUUUAUUCUUUGUUUACUUCUGCUUACUGCCGUUGAAGCCAACAUUAUUUGAAUACUUUAGAAGUCAUUUGUUUACAGAUAAAUAGUUAUAUAUGGUCCGCUAUCAUUG
rnacentral:lncRNA from 1 species